rnacentral:lncRNA from 1 species
GAUUAAUUUGGUGGACCAGUACCUGCAAUUUUCCCUAUGAAAUCUACAUGAAAAGGGGGCAAGAAUCCAAUGCAACAGGCAACUGGCAAUAGAGACGACAUAGAGGAGGAAGACGACAGACAGGCAUAACCAUGACAUGAGUUAAAAGGGGAAAUAAUGGAAGCGAAGGCAGACGGUAGACAUGUCAAGUAAUGGCAUUUCCCCAUUCGGGACGGAAACGCGCUAAGGGUAGAUAUUCAAGGAGUUCGGAUGCGAAAGGAGGGUCUGGAGGAGGCUGGAGUGCGAACUGCGUAGCAGCAAUCAAGGCAAGCCAAUGCUGGUUGACAGCAAUUGUCACGGGGUGAUCGGAGGGAGUAGUUUGAAAUCUUAUAAACGGAACCGACCG